GAAAAUUUAUCAAAGGACCUGUACUUGAUAUCUCAAAUGGAUAGCGAUCAGUUCGUCCCAAUAUGGACAAUUGCCAACAUGGAAGAAAUAAAAAAAUUGACUACUGAUCCAGACUUAAUUCUUGAAGUAUUGAGAUCUUCCCCUAUGGUACAAGUUGAUGAAGGGAGAAAAGGUGAGACCAAGUCAUAAGCGCUGUAUUGUGAUUCUCAGAGAAAUUCCUGAGACGACACCUGUAGAGGAAGUGAAAGCUUUGUUUAAAAAUGAAAACUGCCCCAAAGUGAUAAGCUGUGAGUUUGCACACAACAGCAACUGGUAUAUCACUUUCCAGUCAGACACAGACGCACAGCAGGCUUUUAAAUACUUACGAGAAGAAGUUAAAACGUUUCAGGGCAAGCCAAUUAUGG
rnacentral:lncRNA from 1 species